GCCGCGCGCACGCGCCUCCGCUGCCCUGGCGCCGCUGCCCUGGCGUCGCAGCCCGCGCACCUCCGGGUGAGAUAUAUCAGAAACAUAUGGGAUUCUUUUAACCAUCAGGGCACGAGUGCUGUGCAUGCAGUGGCCCUUUAGCAAAGAUGGAUGUGAGACAAGGUGCAGAAGUCCCUUGGAUAAUGAAAA